CCUACGGGUGGCAGCAGUGAGGAAUAUUGGUCAAUGGGCGCGAGCCUGAACCAGCCAAGUAGCGUGAAGGAUGACUGCCCUACGGGUUGUAAACUUCUUUUAUAAAGGAAUAAAGUGAGGCACGUGUGCCUUUUUGUAUGUACUUUAUGAUUAAGGAUCGGCUAACUAGGUGCCAGCAGCCGCGGUAAUACGGAGGAUCCGAGCGUUAUCCGGAUUUAUUGGGUUUAAAGGGAGCGUAGAUGGGUUGUUAAGUCAGUUGUGAAAGUUUGCGGCUCAACCGUAAAAUUGCAAUGGAUACUGGCAGUCUUGAGUACAGGUGAGGUAGGCGGAAUUCGUGGUGUAGCGGUGAAAUGCGUAGAUAUCAGGAGGAACUCCGAUGGCGAAGGCAGCUUACUAAACUGUCACUGACAUUGAUGCUCGAAAGUGUGGGUAGCAAACAGGAUUAGAUACCCUUGUAGUC
rnacentral:rRNA from 1 species